rnacentral:tRNA from 1 species
GGUAGGUUGGCCGAGAGUUUAGGCAGCGAGUUGUAAGCUCGUGUACGCGGGUUCGAGUCCCGUAACUACCA